rnacentral:rRNA from 1 species
UACGUAGGGUGCGAGCGUUAAUCGGAAUUACUGGGCGUAAAGCGUGCGCAGGCGGUUUGCUAAGACAGGUGUGAAAUCCCCGGGCUUAACCUGGGAACUGCGCUUGUGACUGGCAGGCUAGAGUACGGCAGAGGGGGGUGGAAUUCCUGGUGUAGCAGUGAAAUGCGUAGAUAUCAGGAGGAACACCGAUGGCGAAGGCAGCCCCCUGGGCCUGUACUGACGCUCAUGCACGGAAGCGUGGGGAGCAAACAGGAUUAGAUA